AGUGAACGCUGGCGGUAGGCCUAACACAUGCAAGUCGAAUGGCAGCACAGUAAGAGCUUGCUCUUACGGGUGGCGAGUGGCGGACGGGUGAGGAAUACAUCGGAAUCUACUUUUUCGUGGGGGAUAACGUAGGGAAACUUACGCUAAUACCGCAUACGACCUACGGGUGAAAGCAGGGGAUCUUCGGACCUUGCGCGAUUGAAUGAGCCGAUGUCGGAUUAGCUAGUUGGCGGGGUAAAGGCCCACCAAGGCGACGAUCCGUAGCUGGUCUGAGAGGAUGAUCAGCCACACUGGAACUGAGACACGGUCCAGACUCCUACGGGAGGCAGCAGUGGGGAAUAUUGGACAAUGGGCGCAAGCCUGAUCCAGCCAUACCGCGUGGGUGAAGAAGGCUUUCGGGUUGUAAAGCCCUUUUGUUGGGAAAGAAAAGCAGCAGGUUAAUACCCCGCUGUUCUGACGGUACCCAAAGAAUAAGCACCGGCUAACUUCGUG
rnacentral:rRNA from 1 species